UGUGCAACACAGGAAGAGGUUGGCUGGC
rnacentral:piRNA from 1 species